rnacentral:rRNA from 1 species
GACGAACGCUGGCGGCGGGCCUAAUACAUGCAAGUCGAACGCAGUUGCGAACGGGUGAGUAACGUGUAGGUAACUGCCUCAGAGCGGGGGAUAACUAUUGGAAACGAUAGCUAAUACCGCAUACUGUGCGAUGGACCUGCGUUGGAUUAGCUAGUUGGUGAGGUAAAGGCUCACCAAGGCGAAGAUACAUAGCCGACCUGAGAGGGUGAACGACCACACUGGGACUGGGACACGGCCCAGGCUCCUACGGGUAGCCGCAGUAGGGAAUCUUCGGCAAUGGACGGAAAUCUGACCGAGCAACGCCGCGUGAGUGGAGAAGGUUUUCGGAGCGUAAAGCUCUUUUGUGAGAGGAGCGUUAACUAACCAGAAAGGAACGGCUAACUACGUGCCAGCAGCCGCGGUAAUUC